GAGUUUGAUCAUGGCUCAGGAUGAACGCUGGCGGCGUGCUUAACACAUGCAAGUCGAACGAACCUUCGGGUUAGUGGCGGACGGGUGAGUAACGCGUGAGAAUCUGCCCUCAGGAGGGGGAUAACGGCUGGAAACGGCCGCUAAUACCCCAUAUGCCGCGAGGUGAAAUGAAUUUCGCCUGAGGAUGAGCUCGCGUCUGAUUAGCUAGUUGGUGUAGGUAAUGGCUCACCAAGGCAUCGAUCAGUAGCUGGUUUGAGAGAACGAUCAGCCACACUGGGACUGAGACACGGCCCAGACUCCUACGGGAGGCAGCAGUGGGGAAUUUUCCGCAAUGGGCGCAAGCCUGACGGAGCAACGCCGCGUGAGGGAUGAAGGCCUCUGGGCUGUAAACCUCUUUUAUCAAGGAAGAAGAUCUGACGGUACUUGAUGAAUAAGCCACGGCUAAUUCCGUGCCAGCAGCCGCGGUAAUACGGGAGUGGCAAGCGUUAUCCGGAAUUAUUGGGCGUAAAGCGUCCGCAGGCGGCCCUUCAAGUCUGCUGUUAAAACGUGGAGCUUAACUCCAUCAUGGCAGUGGAAACUGUUGGGCUUGAGUGUGGUAGGGGCAGAGGGAAUUCCCGGUGUAGCGGUGAAAUGCGUAGAUAUCGGGAAGAACACCAGUGGCGAAGGCGCUCUGCUGGGCCAUCACUGACGCUCAUGGACGAAAGCCAGGGGAGCGAAAGGGAUUAGAUACCCCUGUAGUCCUGGCCGUAAACGAUGAACACUAGGUGUCGGGGGAAUCGACCCCUUCGGUGUCGUAGCCAACGCGUUAAGUGUUCCGCCUGGGGAGUACGCACGCAAGUGUGAAACUCAAAGGAAUUGACGGGGGCCCGCACAAGCGGUGGAGUAUGUGGUUUAAUUCGAUGCAACGCGAAGAACCUUACCAGGGUUUGACAUCCUGCGAAUCUCUUGGAAACGAGAGAGUGCCUUCGGGAGCGCAGUGACAGGUGGUGCAUGGCUGUCGUCAGCUCGUGUCGUGAGAUGUUGGGUUAAGUCCCGCAACGAGCGCAACCCACGUCUUUAGUUGCCAGCAUUUAGUUGGGCACUCUAGAGAGACCGCCGGUGAUAAACCGGAGGAAGGUGUGGAUGACGUCAAGUCAUCAUGCCCCUUACAUCCUGGGCUACACACGUACUACAGUGCUACGGACAAAGGGCAGCAAGUUCGCGAGGACAAGCAAAUCCCAUAAACCGUGGCUCAGUUCAGAUCGUAGGCUGCAACUCGCCUACGUGAAGUAGGAAUCGCUAGUAAUCGCAGGUCAGCAUACUGCGGUGAAUACGUUCCCGGGCCUUGUACACACCGCCCGUCACACCAUGGAAGUUGGCCACGCCCGAAGCCGUUACUCCAACCCUUGUGGAGGAGGACGUCGAAGGUGGGGCUGAUGACUGGGGUGAAGUCGUAACAAGGUAACC
rnacentral:rRNA from 1 species